rnacentral:rRNA from 1 species
UGGCUUCCAUCUGGAAGAAUCUGGAGACAGGUGCUGCAUGGCUGUCGUCAGCUCGUGUCGUGAGAUGUUGGGUUAAGUCCCGCAACGAGCGCAACCCUUGCCUUUAGUUGCCAGCAGUUCGGCUGGGCACUCUAAAGGGACUGCCGGGUGUUAAACCGGAGGAAGGUGGGGGAUGACGUCAAGUCCUCAUGGCCUUUAUGACCAGGGCUACACACGUACUACAAUGGCCGAUACAAAGGGCAGCGACACUGCGAGGUGAAGCCAAUCCCGUAAAAUCGGUCUCAGUCCGGAUUGGAGUCUGCAACUCGACUCCAUGAAGUUGGAAUCGCUAGUAAUCGUGGAUCAGCAUGCCACGGUGAAUACGUUCCCGGGCCUU